UCAACCCUCAAAACCUCGGUUUUGGUGUUGGAGGAAUACCCUGAAAAAAGGGUACCCUCUGAAAUUCAGUGGCGGGCUUGCUAGAAUUUUGAGCGUAGUAAUUUAUACCUCGUUUGUAAAGACUGGCGGUGCUCUUGCCGUAAAACCCCCCAACUUUCUGAAAAUUGACCUCGGAUCAGG
rnacentral:misc_RNA from 1 species